AAGAUAUUCAAUAAUAUAAGCUCUUUCUGUAACUUCUGAAUAUUAGGUUAGCCCGACUUUUUCAUUAGUACGGUAAUGUGCCUGAAAAGGAAUUGCAUUAGAUAUGUUAUAAAUGAUCAACAGAAGGGAAGUGCUUUUGUUAUUGUAACUGAUGAAAAAUAAAAAAGGAAUAAAAGAUAUCCUUUGUUUCUGCCUUCUGUAAGAACCAGUUCAACAGCAACAUUAAUGAAUUCCAUUGUAGUUUUCCUGGCAGGGCUGUAGUGUUUCCAAGAUGACAUGGAUUCAGGAAACACCUAUUGUAUUGAUGUAUUAUUUUGCGAUGAGCCUUUAUUUUGUGUAUGCUUUUGUUGCAGGUUUUUGCAGAAAAACCAGGGUACUUUCCUCUCAUAUGCUUAUGAUGGCCCCAAAG
rnacentral:lncRNA from 1 species